AGAAACCAGGGCCCAGGGCCCCAACAUUAAUGUAAAUGAAUCCCAAGGGGGGCCGUUAGCUUGGACUCAGAACAAUGAGUUAAUUGAAAGUGGUAAUGAGAAAAAGCAGCUGACACUCAUAAACCCAUGGGCCAAUGAGCAGUUCAAUUCCUGGGCAGCAAGUGAGAACCGGCUCGCGAGCCAACCACGAUGUCAAUGGCUUCUGAAAAUAAUUGCCCGAGGAAUACCAGGCUACGGGCAGGAACUGAGCUUGUCUGCAGAUCCUGUCACCUGGCUGGGAGCCACCUGGGCUGGCUUAGUGCCCAGUGCUUUGAGCCCUGAGAACACCCUGUGCUUUGAAGAAAUACCUGGAAUCCAAGGACAGACGCUCAACUGAGGUGUCACGUGAGGGAUCGCCUCAGUACAGUGGGCCCCUCCUCUCUACUGUCAUUUAAAGUAGGACUCCUGAGCAAGAUUUUUCCAGGUCUGGAGGCAUUCCCAGCCUGGAGCCCAAGACCUGACACAGAGCAAGCACUCAACAAAUGAUCGCUGAGUGAAUAAAUGAAUCGGACUUUGGUCAGGAAGCCAGAGAUCGGAAUUGAGACCCGACUGCAAGAAGAGAUGGGGAGAGAGUUUCGAGGAGAGAGGUGGGUGUUCUUUUCCACGGACAUCUGUCUCUUUGAGUAUCCCUCACCUCCAAGGGUAAAUAAGGAAUGCAAACUAGAAAUGAGUAAAUGAAAUGUCCUUACCAUUGUGGUGCCUGGCUGAUAACAGAAGCUCAGCCAGCAUUCGUAAGCAAGGAAAAUAAAUACCUUAACCUAUGUGAGGUUCUUUCCUGUCGUCCUGAAAACCAGUAGCAGUCCCCGGGUGGUUUUUGCUAAGACCUCAGAGACAUCACAGCCAGAACUCAUGCUGGAGCUCAGAUCUCAUCUAAAUUCUCAUUUCUGACAGCUUGAUCUGGCAGGGGGGCUCCUACUACUCCAGCUGGGACACAUUUGGGGCAGGCGACUCUGUUGACCUCUUACUUCAUGUUUGAAAUGUUUGAACUCUGGUUUUUGGAGCAUCGUGUGAUACCGCUUUUAUGAAAACGGGCUUCUAGAGGCAAUACAGAUGAGACCAGCACCCCUGGCUGCCUCUCUCCAAUGGAAACAGCACACCGCCUGACCUGGGUAGCCAGAGUUGACUUAGAGGAACUUAACUGAUUUGGUUCAUCAGUUCAAAUCACCUUUAAUGUGGCACAUUAGUAAUGCCAUCAUAUUGUAAAUGAUAUAUCCACAGAGGCAUUAGUCAUUACACAAAUAGAAUGAAUAGGUUUCACUACACUUCAAGAUAAACAUGUUGGAACAGUAACCCCAUUCAUUCAGGGCCUUUUGAGCUUGUUCAGGGUCCUUACCUGACUGUUAGAAUAAAUACAAAGUUUUAUGGCCUGCUUGCUCUGUGUGACUUCACCAUCUCCAAAUCACACGCGUCGGCUUUAGAAAUGGCACUUGUGUGCCUUGACACGUUCAUUCACUUGUUCCUUCUCCUACUCAGUAAUCUAUUGUUUUUCCAGCUCAGUUCGCUGAAUGUUGUGGUUCCCUGACUGUUGUGAUGGGAUUCACGAGAACCGUUUUGUUGGGAUACUGGAGUUGAGAAUUGUCUCAGGGCAAUGUGCAGAGUGGUUAGAGCAGGAGUUUGGGCACCAAACUUACUGGAUUUCACUUCUAGUCCCAUCACCAAUGGUCUGUAUGUUCUCAGGAACUGAUUUCACUUCUCUUGAGCCUCUACUUCCUUAUCCCUAAAAUGCCUGUGAAACCCCUCCCCCUCCCCAUCUCUAUAUUGCAUAUCUCUUUUUCUCCAUCUUCUUUUUUAAAAGAUUUUAUUUAUCUAUUUGUCAGAGAGAGAGAGAGCACUA